rnacentral:rRNA from 2 species
UGGGAUAAUACUGCGGUCAGGCACGAAAGCGUGGGGAGCAACAGGAUUAGAUACCCUGGUAGUCCCGCCUAAACGAUGUCAACUAGCUGUGGGCCUUCGGGCCUAGUAGCGCAGCUAACGCGUGAAGUUGACCGCCUGGGGAGUACGGUCGCAAGAUUAAAACUCAAAGGAAUUGACGGGGACCCGCACAAGCGGUGGAUGAUGUGGAUUAAUUCGAUGCAACGCGAAAAACCUUACCUACCCUUGACAUGUCUGGAAUCCUGAAGAGAUUUAGGAGUGCUCGCAAGAGAACCGGAACACAGGUGCUGCAUGGCUGUCGUCAGCUCGUGUCGUGAGAUGUUGGGUUAAGUCCCGCAACGAGCGCAACCCUUGUCAUUAGUUGCUACGAAAGGGCACUCUAAUGAGACUGCCGGUGACAAACCGGAGGAAGGUGGGGAUGACGUCAAGUCCUCAUGGCCCUUAUGGGUAGGGCUUCACACGUCAUACAAUGGUCGGGACAGAGGGUUGCCAACCCGCGAGGGGGAGCCAAUCUCAGAAACCCGAUCGUAGUCCGGAUUGCAGGCUGCAACUCGCCUGCAUGAAGUCGGAAUCGCUAGUAAUCGCGGAUCAGCAUGUCGCGGUGAAUACGUUCCCGGGUCUUGUACACACCGCCCGUCACACCAUGGGAGUGGGUUUCACCAGAAGUAGGUAGCCUAACCGUAAGGGGGGCGCUUACCACGGUGGGAUUCAUGACUGGGGUGAAGUCGUAACAAGGUAACCGUAA